AUACCUUUCUCAACCUGUUGGCUAAGAUAAUGUGUAGUAUAUGCAAUUUAAUAUCUGGUAUUUGGGCCAUAUGUCCACUUUAAUUUUAAAUUUAUUUUUUCUGGGGAGGGUCCAUCAAACUGGCUUGCCACUGGACCCUCGGGUGUCGUACAACUAUUGCACUAUACCAUCAAAUAUGAUUGGUAUACCGCCG
rfam:Zea mays cultivar B73 chromosome 5, whole genome shotgun sequence.